CCUACGGGAGGCUGCAGUGAGGAAUAUUGGUCAAUGGGCGCAAGCCUGAACUAGCCAAGUCGCGUGAGGGAUGACGGUCCUAUGGAUUGUAAACCUCUUUUGUCGGGGAGCAAGGCCCGCCACGUGUGGCGGGAAGGAGAGUACCCGAAGUAAAAGCAUCGGCUAACACCGUGCCAGCAGCCGCGGUAAGACGGAGGAUUGGAGCGUUAUCCGGAGUUGUUGGGUUUAAGGGGUGCGUGGGCGGAAGGUUAAGUCAGCGGUAAAAUGGCGGUGAUCAACACCGGCCUGCCGUUGAAACUGGUCUUCUUGAGUGAGCGAGAAGUAUGCGGAAUGCGUGGUGUAGCGGUGAAAUGCAUAGAUAUCACGCAGAACUCCGAUUGCGAAGGCAGCAUACCGGCGCUCAACUGACGCUGAGGCACGAAAGCGUGGGGAUCGAACAGGAUUAGAUACCCGAGCAGUC
rnacentral:rRNA from 1 species